CCCUUAGAUGUUCUGGGCCGCACGCGCGCUACACUGACGAUGGCAACGAGUUCUUCCUUCGCCGAAAGGUGUGGGUAAUCUUUUGAAACAUCGUCGUGCUGGGGAUAGAUCAUUGCAAUUUUUGAUCUUGAACGAGGAAUUCCUAGUAAGCGCGAGUCAUCAGCUCGCGUUGAUUACGUCCCUGCCCUUUGUACACACCGCCCGUCGCUACUACCGAUUGAAUGGUUUAGUGAGGACUCCUGAUUGGCGCCGCCGCCCCGGCAACGGAGCAGCGGACUGCCGAAAAGUUGUUCAAACUUGAUCAUUUAGAGGAAGUAAAAGUCGUAACA
rnacentral:rRNA from 1 species